UGAUACUUGUUUAAGGACACUGCCGUUG
rnacentral:sRNA from 1 species